GACGAACGCUGGCGGCGUGCCUAAUACAUGCAAGUAGGACGCAGUUGCGAACGGGUGAGUAACGCGUAGGUAACUGCCUAUUAGAGGGGGAUAACUAUUGGAAACGAUAGCUAAUACCGCAUACUAGUAGAUGGACCUGCGUUGUAUUAGCUAGUAGGUAGGGUAAUGGCCUCACUAGGCGACGAUACAUAGCCGACCUGGCAGGGUGAUCAGACCCACUGGGAACGAGACACGGCCCAGACUCCUACGGGAGGCAGCAGUAGGGAAUCUUAGGCAAUGGGGGGAACCCUUACCGGGCAACGCCGCGUGAGUGAAGAAGGUUUUCGGAUUGUAAAGCUCUGUUGUUAAGGAAGCGGUACUUAACCAGAAAGGGACGGCUAACUACGUGCCAGCAGCCGCGGUAAUUC
rnacentral:rRNA from 1 species